AUGGAACAUCAGAAGAAAUAAAUAUAUAAUAGUUUUUUCAGUUAUGUAUAGAAGAUGAGAGAGUAUGAUCAAAUUUACAUUUAGAUCGAGGAGAAAAGUACCAUCAGUCUUUUUCAUAAAGAUGUUUCUUUAGGACGAAUAGCAUCCUAAAAAAAAGAGAUCCUAAGUUCUAUAGCAAAAAAAUUUAUAACAAAUGAUG
rnacentral:lncRNA from 1 species